GAUUAGAUACCCGGGUAGUCCUAGCUGUAACCAUGGCCCAUNUGAUGUUGCUUUUCCGUUGAGGGGAAGGCAGUGUCGGAGCGAAGGUGUUAAAUGGGCCGCUUGGGAAGUAUGGUCGCAAGACUGAAACUUAAAGGAAUUGGCGGGGGAGCACCGCAACGGGAGGAAUGUGCGGUUUAAUUGGAUUCAACGCCGGAAAACUCACCGGGAACGACCUGUGCAUGAGAGUCAACCUGACGAGCUUACUCGAUAGCAGGAGAGGUGGUGCAUGGCCGUCGUCAGCUCGUACCGUAGGGCGUUCACUUAAGUGUGAUAACGAGCGAGACCCACAUCUUUAAUUGCAAAUGUAUAUGAGAAUAUGCAUGCACUUUAGAGAAACCGCCAGCGCUAAGCUGGAGGAAGGAGUGGUCGACGGCAGGUCAGUACGCCCCGAAUUUCCCGGGCUACACGCGCAUUACAAAGAACGGGACAAUACGUUGCAACCUCGAAAGAGGAAGCUAAUCGCGAAACCCGUCCAUAGUUAGGAUUGAGGGCUGUAACUCGCCCUCAUGAAUCUGGAUUCCGUAGUAAUCGUCGGGUCAACAACCCGCGGUGA
rnacentral:rRNA from 1 species